rnacentral:rRNA from 1 species
GGAAACUAGGGGGUGGCUUCCAUCUGGAAGGAAUCUGGAGACAGGUGCUGCAUGGCUGUCGUCAGCUCGUGUCGUGAGAUGUUGGGUUAAGUCCCGCAACGAGCGCAACCCUUGCCUUUAGUUGCCAGCAGUUCGGCUGGGCACUCUAAAGGGACUGCCGGUGUUAAACCGGAGGAAGGUGGGGAUGACGUCAAGUCCUCAUGGCCUUUAUGACCAGGGCUACACACGUACUACAAUGGCCGAUACAAAGGGCAGCGACACUGCGAGGUGAAGCCAAUCCCGUAAAAUCGGUCUCAGUCCGGAUUGGAGUCUGCAACUCGACUCCAUGAAGUUGGAAUCGCUAGUAAUCGUGGAUCAGCAUGCCACGGUGAAUACGUUCCCGGGCCUU